GACCGCCUGGAUUAUUCACAAACAAAUCAUUUUUCCUUUUGUGCUAUCAGUUGUCACGGAGUCCCUGACAUCCACCGGCAGACUGACGUCCCUCCCGCCAAAGGGAACCGGCGCAUCGAGUCACAGGAACAUGGCCAGCUCGAGCGGUGGAGUUGGAGGAGGAGCCUUGGAGAAGAACAUCUUAACUCAGAAGAGCAGCACGACUUACUUCACUUCUUGUGAGUUUUCAUUGCACCAAUGAGAGUUAAAUGGGGGAAAGAAAAGUUUAGCUACUCGCUUUGGUGUCCACUCGGAGUCCAAGGAAUAGAACAUCACAGGACUCCAUAAAAAA